rnacentral:rRNA from 1 species
AUUGAACGCUGGCGGCAUGCUUUACACAUGCAAGUCGAACGAGUGGCGGACGGGUGAGUAAUAUAUCGGAACGUGCCUAGUAGCGGGGGCUAACUACUCGAAACAGUGGCUAAUACCGCAUACUAUUGGAUAGGCCGCUAUCGGAUUCGCUAGUUGGUGGGGUAACGGCUCACCAAGGCGACGAUCCUUAGCGGGUCUGAGAGGAUGACCAGCCACCAUGGAACUGAGACCCGGUCCAUAACCCUACGGGAGGCAGCAGUGGGGAAUAUUGUACAAGGGGAGCAAGCCUGAGGCAGCCAUUCCGCGUGUAUGAAGAAGGCCUUCGGGUUGUAAAGUACUUGUAGCGGGGAGGCGGUAUCCGAAGAAGAAGCACCGGCGAACUCCGUGCCAGCCGCCGCGGUAAUUC